AGUGAACGCUGGCGGUAGGCCUAACACAUGCAAGUCGAACGGCAGCACAGUAAGAGCUUGCUCUUACGGGUGGCGAGUGGCGGACGGGUGAGGAAUACAUCGGAAUCUACUUUUUCGUGGGGGAUAACGUAGGGAAACUUACGCUAAUACCGCAUACGACCUACGGGUGAAAGCAGGGGAUCUUCGGACCUUGCGCGAUUGAAUGAGCCGAUGUCGGAUUAGCUAGUUGGCGGGGUAAGGCCCACCAAGGCGACGAUCCGUAGCUGGUCUGAGAGGAUGAUCGGCCACACUGGAACUGAGACACGGUCCAGACUCCUACGGGAGGCAGCAGUGGGGAAUAUUGGACAAUGGGCGCAAGCCUGAUCCAGCCAUACCGCGUGGGUGAAGAAGGCCUUCGGGUUGUAAAGCCCUUUUGUUGGGAAAGAAAAGCAGCAGGUUAAUACCCCGCUGUUCUGACGGUACCCAAAGAAUAAGCACCGGCUAACUUCGUG
rnacentral:rRNA from 1 species